CCUACCCGGAAAAACCAAAAGCUCCUCUAGCCUCGGCUUCCCAAACAGCAGGGACUGGACCACCAUGCCCAGCUUGGCAUCUUCCUGGACAAAGGAUGUCCUGUUUGUCUUCCAAGACCAACUGCGGUCUAACCCUUGCUUACCCCACACCGUUUCUUCACUACAGUCGGCUGGACUCAGCUCCAAGCGCCACCCCACCCCAACUGGCACCUAGAGGACCACCCGAGACCACCCGAGACCUCCCGACCUGGCCGGACUCACAGUGCCCCCUCCCUUUCUCUCUGAACACAGGUACCAAGGGACACCUGAAGAUUCACCUCAACCCCAUCACUCAGGGUGCUCUUGCUUCUCGGUCCGUGCUGGACGCUUAGGGGUGCUGACUUCAGUAGCCCCUCUUCAGGCCCACCUUGUCUCCAGAUCCAGCUGCAUCCUGGAUAAACUCGAACUUGCGUCCAUCGAGGCUAUAGGCCACCUUGAAGGUCUUCAGGUAUUCUGCCCUCCCCCCGCGGCUGGCGCCCUGCGUCAUCACACCCGACACCCGCAUCUUCCGCAGAAGGUUCACCUGGACCCCGGCCGGGGUGAGAAAGGUAGUUCCCUCAUCAUCCAGCUCUUUCCACCCAGAUUCAACUGGCUAGCUCACUAGUUCCUCCUCCGAGGAGCUGGCUUUCUCCUCUGAGGUUCCGGAGCCUGUCUCUAAAUAGCCCGUGAGUGUCAAGACCUCCAGAGGCCUGUGGGUACCCAAGCCCCUCCACCAAAGGCCAUCUGUCCUCAUACUCUGCCCACCUGCGCCAGGCCCAAGGAUGCCCUCCAUACAUGGACACUUCACUAUGGCCAUCUAUCAUCCUGCAUGGACCAGGUUCUGAGCCCCACAAUGCAGCCGCGUUCACCCUGUCUUCCCUAUCACUCUGCCCUGUAUCUUUCUCCCACCUGGAUCCAGGGUUUCGGGUCAUAGUUGCUGGAUGUCCACGCGUUGACGAUGCCAGUGCGGUGCAGGCGAGCCAGCUGCGGGCCCCAGCGCUGCAAGCCCAGGAAACUCACA